AGCUGAAAGCUUAUGCUAACGGAAGGACUAACCGCUAAUGGCAUAAGUUGUGAUGGUCUGCAUCAGUGGUACUUGAAUCGUACAAAAAGUCUGGUCGAGCAUGAAGAUGCUCUCACCGUCUUCCUUAAGCAACGGCAUUUUUUAACAGAAGAAACCUACGCUAUGCCGAACUACACCGACGUGUUUGACCUCUUUACACUUGAUGCCAUUGACUUCGAUAUACUAAAGUGUUUCUCAUUGUAAGUGCAUUUGAAUAAUGAUAUUCAAUGAUAAUUGUAUCAAGAUAGAACAUGAUUUGGUACCUUUAUUCACUGAACGGGGUUAAUCAGACUUCUCAAAGGUGAAACCAGAAAUUGACAGGGGUUCGACGAGUUCUUUUGCAUUCAGGGAAGAAGCAAGAAAGGGAAUACGACACUUGAACAUUGAUUAAAAUUUCCGUGCCACUAAUAGCCACCAAGCAAACAAUGUGGUUUCUAUGUUUGCCGCCGUAUGCAACUUAUCACGGAAUAUAAUAGCGAUCCAAUGGUUUGUUAAUCUCCAACUAUUAUUUUACCCUUAAACCUAAUCCAU